rnacentral:lncRNA from 1 species
CUACCGAGCUUAAAAUCCUGUGUUCCUCUUCUCGCAACCUCUUUCUCUCACUCAACUCGAACCCUAACACCCGCCUUAGAUACCCCUUUUUCCAUUACUCACCUUGAAACCGAGCCUUAAUCCCUAGUUAUGUCUCUCUCCGGACGUUUAAUGUCCUCUCUCUCAAUUGCCGCUAUUUCCUCUCUGGCCCUAUGGUUUCGGAUAAGAAAAAUAAAAAGAAAACAAAGGAGGACGAAGAGAUGAUGGAAGCCGCUCCGAGAAGAACACCAAGAGAAGUGAUGUUGACUUCUUGAAGCUCCCUCCGGUGAAUGAAUCGUAGCGGAAUGAUGACGAUAAUUCGAAGGAGAACUCGAAUCAGAGAAUGAACU